UACGUAGGGUGCAAGCGUUAAUCGGAAUUACUGGGCGUAAAGCGUGCGCAGGCGGCUUCGCAAGACAGAUGUGAAAUCCCCGGGCUUAACCUGGGAACUGCAUUUGUGACUGCAUGGCUGGAGUGCGGCAGAGGGGGAUGGAAUUCCGCGUGUAGCAGUGAAAUGCGUAGAUAUGCGGAGGAACACCGAUGGCGAAGGCAAUCCCCUGGGCCUGCACUGACGCUCAUGCACGAAAGCGUGGGGAGCAAACAGG
rnacentral:rRNA from 1 species